rnacentral:tRNA from 1 species
GAGGGUAUAGCUCAGUGGUAGAGUGCAUGCCUAGCAUGCAUGAGGUCCUGGGUUCAAUCCCCAGCACCUCCA